rnacentral:rRNA from 1 species
UAGCCGUAAACGAUACUCGCUAGGUGUCGGCCACGGUGCGACCGUUGUCGGUGCCGUAGGGAAGCCGUGAAGCGAGCCACCUGGGAAGUACGGCCGCAAGGCUGAAACUUAAAGGAAUUGGCGGGGGAGCACCACAACGGGUGGAGCUUGCGGUUUAAUUGGAUUCAACGCCGGAAAUCUUACCGGGACCGACAGCAACAUGAAGGCCAGGCUGAAGACUUUGCCGGAUUAGCUGAGAGGAGGUGCAUGGCGUUGUGACUGU